rnacentral:rRNA from 1 species
ACGCACGCUGGCGGCGUGCUUAACACAUGCAAGUCGAACGAAGAGCGAUGGAAGCUUGCUUCUAUCAAUCUUAGUGGCGAACGGGUGAGUAACGCGUAAUCAACCUGCCCUUCAGAGGGGGACAACAGUUGGAAACGACUGCUAAUACCGCAUACGAUCUAAUCUCGGCAUCGAGGAUAGAUGAAAGGUGGCCUCUACAUGUAAGCUAUCACUGAAGGAGGGGAUUGCGUCUGAUUAGCUAGUUGGAGGGGUAACGGCCCACCAAGGCGAUGAUCAGUAGCCGGUCUGAGAGGAUGAACGGCCACAUUGGGACUGAGACACGGCCCAGACUCCUACGGGAGGCAGCAGUGGGGAAUCUUCCGCAAUGGACGAAAGUCUGACGGAGCAACGCCGCGUGAGUGAUGACGGCCUUCGGGUUGUAAAGCUCUGUUAAUCGGGACGAAAGGCCUUCUUGCGAAUAGUGAGAAGGAUUGACGGUACCGGAAGAGAAAGCCACGGCUAACUACGUG